rnacentral:rRNA from 1 species
AUUGAACGCUGGCGGCAGGCCUAACACAUGCAAGUCGAGCGGAUGAAUCGUGCUUUCUCCUGGAUUCAUCGUCGGACGGGUGAGUAAUUCCUAGGAAUCUGCCUUGUAGUUGGGUAUUACGUCCCGACACGGGCGCUAAUACCGCAUACGUCCUUAUGGUGAAUCUGGGGGAUCUUCGGACCUCACGCUAUCUGAUGUUCCUAGGUCGGAUUAGCUAGUUGGUGGGGUAAAGGCCUAACAAGGCGACGAUCCGUAACUGGUCUGAGAGGAUGAUCAGUCACACUGGAACGGAGACACGGUACAGACUCCUACGGGAGGCAGGAGUGGGGAAUAUUGGACAAUGGGCGAAAGCGUGAUCCAGCGAAGCGGCGUGUGUGAAGAAGGGCUUCGGAUUGUAAAGCAAUUUAAGUUGGGAGGAAGGGAAGUAAGUUAAUAAGUUGCUGUUUUGACGUUACCAACAGAAUAAGCACCGGCUAACUACGUG